UGGCUUAAGGUGACAUCAAUACAAAGUUUUUCCUCCAUAGUAUCACUCUUCGAAAUAGACGUAAUAAUAUUUUUGCCCUCAAGUCAGAAUCCAGUCAUUGGAUAUAUGAGGAGGAUGACAUAAGGGCACUAUUACAAAGGCAUUUUCAGUCCCACCAUAAUUUGGUGCAGCCUUUAGAUGAUGUGUGGCUUCCUCAGGUCCCCUCUGCUCUCUCUCGUCCUCACCACCAA
rnacentral:lncRNA from 1 species